ACCAACAGGAGAUCAAACGGCGGUCCAUCAGAGGUGACUUGAGCAGCGGCGGGGCAGUGAAGGGCGGCCAGCACACACGUGGCUCUUAUUGGUUCACUGUGACUCACUGCUGACGACUUGUACUGUACAGGGUUGUGAGUGAAUGAUCUGAGUGUCGGUCUCACUCAUUCGAAGCUUCAAGUCGCACAGACGGCUGAUGGGGGGCGGGGAGGCAAGACUGGCCGGUCCACACACAGUCAGUCACCAGCGUGUCGUACACAGGAGAAAAAUAGUGGCACAGCGUGGACCACCAGGAGACAGGCAGCACACACUGAACAGUACAUACACCGGAGUGGAGUGGCGACACUACUAGUCAUGGCGGUACUUAACACCCGGCCAGGACUAACCGAUGCACGCUGCCCGUGACGAGUGCCUCGCAGUUUCUCUGCGUAUACGGUUAGUGUUGUGGCACGUGAGGACGUGAGGUCAAGCAGUGGAUGACUUCAGUCUCUGAUAGCGGAAGGAAGGAUGUGUCUCACCUUGACAUUUGGAACAAUUCCUCUGAAGAUAACUCUACAAACAGGAAACAUCCACUAAGAUGAUGAGGUCAUCAGGAGUGGGAAAUGGAAAGGCGCCAUGCUUAACAUCUUGGAGUCCAAGGAGAAGAAAGUGUUGUGCAGUUCUGAACAAGAGAGAAGGACUGGAAUGUUAGCAGCAGGUGAUGGUCCACCCCCCCCCCUAAUUGAUCCACUUGAUGACACCACAUUGUUGGUUGGAGACUUUAAGGAGUGAUUCACACUCCAUUAAUGGGAUCUGCCUUGAGAGUCCAGGCAAUGACACAGCAAAUUACAUGGAUAACCCGUCUAGUGAGCCCAACCCACCACUAGUCAUACAGCUCUCCUCUAAAGAUGAUGGUCUGCCCCAGGUUUCCUUCUUGGAGCCAUCUCCCCAUGCCGCCUCCUCGGUAGUGCUCUUGGAGGCAUCUAACGUGUUACCAAGUCCUUUACCAAAGGUGGGGGAAUUGCAGGUAGCAGCAAAGGAGCAGCAGCUGGUGCAGUGGGCACGUCAUGAGGCAUACGAGGGUACAAACGCAUGUCUUCAAUUUGUUA